rnacentral:rRNA from 1 species
AGCGAACGCUGGCGGCAGGCCUAACACAUGCAAGUCGAACGAACCCUUCGGGGUUAGUGGCGGACGGGUGAGUAACACGUGGGAACGUGCCUUUAGGUUCGGAAUAACUCAGGGAAACUUGUGCUAAUACCGAACGUGCCCUUCGGGGGAAAGAUUUAUCGCCUUUAGAGCGGCCCGCGUCUGAUUAGCUAGUUGGUGAGGUAAUGGCUCACCAAGGCUACGAUCAGUAGCUGGUCUGAGAGGAUGACCAGCCACAUUGGGACUGAGACACGGCCCAAACUCCUACGGAAGGCAGCAGUGGGGAAUCUUGCGCAAUGGGCGAAAGCCUGACGCAGCCAUGCCGCGUGGAUGAUGAAGGUCUUAGGAUUGUAAAAUCCUUUCACCGGUGAAGAUAAUGACUGUAGCCGGAGAAGAAGCCCCGGCUAACUUCGUGCCAGCAGCCGCGGUAAUAC